GGCCGAGUGGUCCAUGUAGCUGAUUAUCGCGUUUCGUUAACACCGAAAAGGUCCUGAGUUCGAGUCUCAGCUUGGUCA
rnacentral:tRNA from 1 species